rnacentral:lncRNA from 1 species
ACUGUGAAGUCACAAGAGGCCCUGAGCUCUGUGGGCCCCAGGUGCCCCGGGAAAACUUGGGGGAGAAUGGGCAUCCCACCCCAGCACUUUCUAGGAAGAAGGGCAGCAUUUUGAAGGGCUGGAAGUAGAGGAAGGAGGUUGCGGGUAGAAGACUCCAUACUUUCUGUGACGCCUAUUCCUUAGCUUGUGAUGAAUGUUUUCUCAGUAUCCUAUGCUGAAAACAGGUAGAUACUAAUAUCGAUCUUCAAGGGAGGGCUGUUGAGUAUUGAAUAAGACAAAAACAUGGAAGCAAUCAGCACCAUGCUGGAGAGCCUUUAUAUAACCAAAGAUAUUUUUGGACCAUGAAUUCAGAAAUUCUCGGAGCCACCCAUCAGUGCCUGAGCUUCAGUGAGUCCAUAUCCCAUGUCACCCACGGCAAAGGAGACUCUAAGACUUCUGAAGAGUUUCUUGCUUCUUUCCUGUGGGGCAGUGACUCCACUUCCCAGCAGUAAUGGAAUAUCCUGAAUUAGCUACAUUAAUGUUAGAACCAUUUGGACCUCACCCAGGACUUCAACUACAUUAUGCUAAAGUUACAGAACCCAAAUUUGGCAACUGUCUGCAUCUGAACAACAGAAGUUUCAACAUUCUGCCAACAGAGUAACUCCUGGACGAUUGGCACAGAAGAAGGCACAAGGCAAAUACCCAUCUCUGUACACCCUGUGCUACUGUGUCAUGUGCUGCUCCAGGCAACUCCAAUGGAUUGGCCACCCUGGCCAAUGUGCCCUCCAAACACCAGCACUGAGUAGAAAGAGGCUCUGAUUCAUGAAAUGUGAAUUUAUGACAGUUGCCACUCUUAAAAAAAAAAACAAACAGACAGAACUUGAGCAAUACAUGACUGAUGCAUUCUCAGCCUGCUUCCUGUGUUCCAUCUGUCUUUCUGCCAGUGCAUUCACCCUCCAGUGAAACUUUCUACAUUCCACAUUUUCUAUCAAGAAAAGAAAGAGGUUGUAUUGUGAGGUAAGAGGCACACACACGGACUUCCUUCAGUAGCUGCAAUCCUUGCUAUAGGUCAGGCAUCAAGACAAUUCCACUUUACAGGCCUGGAUUUUGGAGAAAGAAAGGUUCUAGUAUGUUACGUUUAUGUUCCCCUGCUUUCUACAAUCCUGUUCAAAGAGUUGCUGACUUAACCACAGAGAGGAUUCCAGAACCUGAGACACAGAAUAAACUUGAGCAAUCAUAGUCCAUCCACUUCAUUGUCUCAUCAAAAACCAAAGGUCCAGUGAAGCUCUGGAACUCAACGCUGUAAAGGAGCGAAGGAGCUUCUAUACAGAGCCUGGAUGCCUGUCUCCUUAUCCUACUUCAGUGGACUUGACUGCAAUCCGGAUUAUGCUGUUUUCUAAGCAUUUAAAAUAAAAUAAAAAGUAUAAUAGUGUGAUAAGUUCUUUCACAAAGCAAGCAAUCACAUUUAUGUUUCUACUUACAUUUGGGUUUUCCAAAUAUGUGUGUGUGUGUGUGUGUGUGUGUGUGUGUGUGUAUGUAGACUUUAAACAUGGUGCAUCCAUCAUGUUGCACUAAAUCAAAACCACCAAAUAAUGAUGUAGAACUAAUAAAUCAAAACCAUCAAAUAAUGACAUAGAAAUCCAAUUCUCCCACCUUACACCCAUUAAGAUGGCUACU